rnacentral:rRNA from 1 species
AAUCAACGCUGGCGGCGUGCCUCAGACAUGCAAGUCGAACGCGAAAGUUCCCUUCGGGGAGCGAGUAGAGUGGCGCACGGGUGAGUAACACGUAGGUAAUCUACCUUUGGAUGGGGAAUA